CAAUAGCGUAUACUAAAGUUGCUGCGGUUAAAACGCUCGUAGUUGGAUCUCUGGCGUGGGACGGUUGGUGCCGGCCUAUGCCGUCGGUCACUGCCGAAAUGCAAUCCCCGCCUCCUCUUGCCGGUGACUCUGCGGGUGCUCUUAACCGAGUUUGCCUGCGGCGGCCGGCCACGUUUACUUUGAAAAAAUUGGAGUGCUCAAAGCAGGCCUGGUACCUGCCACGAACGAAUGGUGCAUGGAAUAAUGGAAUAGGACCUCGGUUCUGUUGUGUUGGUUUCUGAAACCCGAGGUAAUGAUUAAGAGGGACAGCACGGGGGCAUUCGUAUUGCGGCGGGAGAGGUGAAAUUCUUGGAUCGCCGCAAGACGAACAAUUGCGAAAGCAUUUGCCAAGAAUGUUUUCAUUAAUCAAGAACGAUAGUCAGAGGUU
rnacentral:rRNA from 1 species